rnacentral:rRNA from 1 species
UACAGAGGGGGCAAGCGUUGUUCGGAAUUACUGGGCGUAAAGGGCGCGUAGGCGGACAUUUAAGUCAGGGGUGAAAUCCCAGAGCUCAACUCUGGAACUGCCUUUGAUACUGGGUGUCUUGAGUGUGAGAGAGGUAUGUGGAACUCCGAGUGUAGAGGUGAAAUUCGUAGAUAUUCGGAAGAACACCAGUGGCGAAGGCGACAUACUGGCUCAUUACUGAGC